GUGCCUCUAUAAAAGCUACGGUAGAUGUGGGAGCAGCUGGUCUUUGUUCUCUUUGUAGCUAUGCAGGUAUCUGAUGAUCUGUGAAGGAGCAGUGUGUAAAGUGUCUUUAGGAAAAGACAGUGAGAGAAAGUGAGAAGACAGUUCUCCUGACAGAUAAGAAUUAAGCGUCAAACCUUGUGUCUGCAGUAAUCAGACGUGUAAUACAGAGAACCAUAGACAAACUGACAUAAUAAGGAUCAGAGUUCAGUGACACUGAAGCGGACUGAGGAACCAGAAGUUUAUGGAAGUGAAAUGCACAGUCUCACCAGUAUAACUAUUCCCAGGAAAGCUCAUUACCACACUUCAGAAAACACAGUCUGCUGUCCUCACACCAAGAUCAUGCGGGAGCUGAACCAAGAGGAUGGCGCAUCUCAUCUUGUGGCUCUGUGUGUCUACUACGAGGUCAGUGCUGCAGUGAAAGUCUGUGUAAUCUUUUUCUUGGCCUGUCUCAUGUGAUAUCUUCUAUUUGUGUGUUUUCAGCUGUGUAACCUUUUGAAAAAGCCAUCUUUUUAGUUGUAGUUUUUUGUGUGUUUUCCUCACCUGAAAAAAAAAACCAAAAACAAACAAACAAAAAAAACCAAAACAGGUAGUAACACAGUCAAAAUCUGCCUCUAGCUGUUAUACUUCCACAGGUUAAAGUGUUUCUCCGCAUUUUACAGACAUUUCUGAAAGUUUAACCUUUAUGAUACAAGUCAAGCUGUCCCACAGUACAGCUUUUUGCGUAUCAGCAUGAGUGCUUCUCAAACUAUUCUAUAAGAGCUCGACAAGGACUUCCAGUGUGUUCUGUCAUUUUCAUGGAUUGCUUUUUUUCCAGGCAUUCUAUUUGAAAGAAAGAAGUUACAGUUUUUCUUAGUAUACUAACGUAUUUUAACCUUAAAUUGAAAAGAUCUGCUCUCCAAAAAAGCAGCCGCAUAGUUUCAUUAUAAGGCUUUUUGUUUGUUUGUUUAUACUGUAAUAUAUAAAAGAGGUUGUAGUCAGGGUAAUCAAAUUGUACAAUUUUCUCCACUCUAACUUAUGCAUAUGCUAUUGGAAUUUGCAAAUAGCAAGCAUUAGCCUAGAUGUUUCUUUUAAUUACACCUUUGUAAAUACUGCAUCACUCAAUCUAACUCCAGAUCUUCUGUUGAUCACAAUGUAGGGUUACCUUUAUUUUGCAGUGCUUGACAGCAAAUGGUAAUGAUAAAACUGUAAAACUAUGAGAAAUCUGUAACAAAAUUUCAGUGGCUAUGUUUAUGGAGGUUUAAAGCUUCAUGAUGAAUUGAAAUAACAACCUUAUUUUUCUUUUAAAUAAUCUGUCAUGGAGGUUCAUUUACAUUAAGGUUGUAAUGUCUUUUGCAUAUAAUGAGUUUCAUUUGAUAACAGUUGUUUAAA